UCCAAUUUUAUACUAAUAUAUUUAGCGUUUUUGUUGUGGUACGUUAAAUGAUAGAUUGCGCAUGCGUAACCGAUUAAAGCGUAAAAAUUGCGCAUGUGCAACAAGCUUUUACAUCCCAUAAGCAAUGAAGCAAAUGUUUUAGCUUAAAUACGCUGAUUCCAAGUAGGGCAUGUUUGUCCAUUUUUAAAUGGGAGCGAAACUAUGCUAUUACAAACUAAUAGCAUGGCUUUUCGGGAGAUUAGUGAUUAAAUGACCCCUUACCCUCGGCAGGUUUGCGGAAUUUCCUCGGGCUUCGCCCUCGGGAAUUCCGCAAACCUGCCUCGGGUUACGGGGCCAUUUAAUCACUAAUCUCCCUCAAGCCAUGCUAUUACUUAUAAUAAUAUCAUGAUCGCCUCGUUUUCUAUUGUUCUCAUAGGGAAUUUAAAUCCCGUAUUUUCCUCAUUACGCAUGCAACAGGGAAUAUUUCGCUUUGUCUACUAAAUUUCCCCUGCAAAUUUAGUAAAAAACAAAAGAUUUCUUUGUCUACUAAUCUUCCCUCAUCAAAAAUGCACGGGAUGAUUAGUAGACAAAGAAAUCCUUUGUCUUUUACUAAAUUUCCCGCUUCCAUAUUUAAUGCAAACGGAAAACCUAAAACACUCAACAAUUUUAUUCAACAUAUUAAAUUAUAAAUGUACACAAGUAUGACUUUGCUAAACAAUUAAACGUCAAACUCUAACUCAAGACCAACUGUAAAAUUCAUGCUAUCAACGUC